UCCAGACUCCUACGGGAGGCAGCAGUCGGGAAUAUUGCGCAAUGGAGGAAACUCUGACGCAGUGACGCCGCGUAUAGGAAGAAGGUUUUCGGAUUGUAAACUAUUGUCGUGAGGGAAGAAAUUGACAGUACCUCAGGAGGAAGCUCCGGCUAACUAUGUGCCAGCAGCCGCGGUAAUACAUAGGGAGCAAGCGUUAUCCGGAUUUAUUGGGUGUAAAGGGUGCGUAGACGGGAAAUUAAGUUAGUUGUGAAAUCCCUCGGCUUAACUGAGGAACUGCAACUAAAACUGAUUUUCUUGAGUACUGGAGAGGAAAGUGGAAUUCCUAGUGUAGCGGUGAAAUGCAUAGAUAUCACGCAGAACUCCGAUUGCGAAGGCAGCAUACCGGCGCGCAACUGACGCUCAUGCACGAAAGCGUGGGUAUCGAACAGGAUUAGAUACCCCGGUA
rnacentral:rRNA from 1 species